rnacentral:tRNA from 1 species
GGGCUGGUAGAUUAGCCUGGUAGAUUGUCUGGUUCGCAAUCAGGAGGCCGGGGGUUCAAAUCCCCCCCAGUCCACCA